ensembl:lncRNA PMS2P4 PMS1 homolog 2, mismatch repair system component pseudogene 4
CCCGAGGCGGAUCGGGUAUUGAGUCCAUGGAGCGAGCUGAGAGCUAGAGAACCUGCUAAGGCCAUCAAACCUAUCGAUCGGAAGUCAGUCCAUCAGAUUUGCUCUGGGCCGGUGGUACUGAGUCUAAGCACUGCGGUGAAGGAGUUAGUAGAAAACAGUCUGGAUGCUGGUGCCACCAAUAUUGAUCUAAAGCUUAAGGACUAUGGAGUGGAUCUCAUUGAAGUUUCAGACAAUGGAUGUGGGGUAGAAGAAGAAAACUUUGAAGGCUUAACGAUGUCACCAUUUCUACCUGCCACGCAUCGGCGAAGGUUGGGACUCGACUGGUGUUUGAUCACGAUGGGAAAAUCAUCCAGAAAACCCCCUACCCCCACCCCAGAGGGACCACAGUCAGCGUGAAGCAGUUAUUUUCUACACUACCUGUGCACCAUAAGGAAUUUCAAAGGAAUAUUAAGAAGACGUGCCUGUUUCCCCUUCGCCUUCUGCCGUGAUUGUCAGUUUCCUGAGGCCUCCCCAGCCAUGCUUCCUGUACAGCCUGCAGAACUGAAAGUGGCAAAUGAGUUUUUGCCAUGUAUAUGAGUUUCUUAUGGACCCACAUCAGAAGAGCAAGCCAUCUUCACACUGCCAUAAAUCAAAUAGAACCCAUAUAGUUUCUAUUAUCUUCAUUUCCCAGAUGCACUAAUAUAGGUUUUCAAAUG